CUUUUUCAAACAAAUGUGUUUAUCUACACACCUCUGCCUCACCAGCCCUUUCUGCUGGCUGUUUUAAUGAGAUAUAGGAUAUGCAUGGUACAUGUCCAAGUUGAAAGAAUCAGUCACUGGUGGCAACAGUGCUGAUCCAUCAAGGAUAGCACCUUUUACCCUGAAAAUUCUGCUGACUCAGGAGGACAAUUAACACCUCGACAGCCUGGGUCAGAAAUGAGCUGAAGAUUUCUCCCUUGUGGACGGCGUGGUCGGCCGCAGAGCCGCAGCGCUCUUUGCUGAUGUGUCGGUCUGUGUACUCGGGUGUGUGCGUUAGUCAGUAUGUGUGUGUGUUUAAGAGAGAGAAAUGAGAAGGAAGGGUUUUGUGACUGUGUGAGUGGGGUGUUUGCUGUGAGUUUCUGUGGUCUCUGUGUGUGUGUGUGUGUGUGUGUGUGUGCAGCGCUGACAGGCAGUGAGAGGUGUUCAGGUAGGUGCUCCGCAGGGUAAUUAUGCACGACCUCUGGAGAUUUCACACUAGGGCAUUGUGGGUAUUUUUGUUUGUUUUAGCCAUUUCCUUUCCUUUUCUUUUUUUUUUUUGCUUAUAGUCGUUCACAUGAAUGAAAUAUCAAAUGUACCUCAGAGGCUCAUGCUAGGUUUAAAAGAGCAUUCAUCUGCAUAUUAGGAUUGAUGCUAGAGGGAAAUGUGAUCACGUCUCCGGACUCCAGACACACGUUUCUGAAAUUAAUAUGCGCUCGAUAGGCUGAGAAGAGGUUUCAUGAAUAUUCAUCAGGCUUAAUGUGGAUGUCUGCAACUGAUAUCACCGUCGAUUAGAAUAAAACAUCCUUAAUGUUCUUAAUUGGCCAGAGUCCCAUAACUGCAUAAGGUUUUCAUCUUAUAAACAUUUGACGUGUCCAAUUCAAAUCCUACAGCCUAACCUCAGAAUACUAAAUCUCCUGACCUUUGAUCAAGGCAAUUAACCCGCUCUAUCAAUUAUCAAAUGAAGCAUAACAUGGCAGAUUCGCAUUCACGUGCAGAGUCAAGAGUCCAUCUUGACUUAUCUCACUCAAUUUCCUUCUCAAGGGCCGCAGUACACUGAAAAAGCGAAAGUACAUAGACUACUUUUAUAAAUACAUAAUUAUUCUGUUAU
ensembl:lncRNA